GACAGAGGGUGCAAACGUUGUUCGGAAUUACUGGGCGUAAAGCGCGUGUAGGCGGCUAUGCAAGUCGGAUGUGAAAGCCCUCGGCUCAACCGGGGAAGUGCACCCGAAACUGCAAAGCUAGAGUCUCGGAGAGGAUCGUGGAAUUCUCGGUGUAGAGGUGAAAUUCGUAGAUAUCGAGAGGAACACCGGUGGCGAAGGCGGCGAUCU
rnacentral:rRNA from 1 species